rnacentral:rRNA from 1 species
UGAGUACGAGCUGCUACGGCAGCGAAGUGGGUGAUGUCAUGCUUCCAAGAAAAGCCCUAUACCCGUUAAGGCAUGAUGGCCUGUACCCGAAACCGACACAGGUGGGGUGGUAGAGAAUACCGAGGGGCGCGAGGUAACUCUCUCUAAGGAACUCGGCAAAAUGGCCCCGUAACUUCGGGAGAAGGGGUGCCACCGCAAGGUGGUCGCAGUGAAGAGGCCCAGGCGACUGUUUACCAAAAACACAGGUCUCCGCUAAGUCGCAAGACGAUGUAUGGGGGCUGACGCCUGCCCAGUGCCGGAAGGUUAAGGAAGCUGGUCAGCGUAAGCGAAGCUAGCGACUGAAGCCCCGGUGAACAGCGACCGUAACAAUAACGGUCCUAAGGUAGCGAAAUUCCUUGUCGGGUAAGUUCCGACCCGCACGAAAGGCGUAACGAUCUGGGCGCUGUCUCGGAGAGAGGCUCGGCGAAAUAGAAUUGUCUGUGAAGAUGCGGACUACGUGCACCCGGACAGAAAGACCCUAUGAAGCUUUACUGUAGCUUGGUAUUGUGCUCGGGCUCGGAAUGCGCAGGAUAGGUGGGAGGCUAUGAACCAUUGCUUGUGGGUGAUGGUGAGCCACUGGUGAGAUACCACUCUUUCCGAGCUAGAGUUCUAACAGCCACCCGUUAUCCGGGGGCUGGACAGUAUCAGGUGGGCAGUUUGACUGGGGCGGUCGCCUCCUAAGAGGUAACGGAGGCGCGCAAAGGUUUGCUCAGGCUGGUUGAAAUCAGCCGACGAGUGUAAAAGCAGAAGCAAGCUUGACUGUGAGACCUACAAGUCGAACAGGGAGGAAACUCGGCUUUAGUGAUCCGACGGUUCUGCGUGGAAGGGCCGUCGCUCAACGGAUAAAAGUUACUCUAGGGAUAACAGGCUGAUCUCCCCCAAGAGUUCACAUCGACGGGGAGGUUUGGCACCUCGAUGUCGGCUCAUCGCAACCUGGGGCUGAAGUCGGUCCCAAGGGUUGGGCUGUUCGCCCAUUAAAGCGGUACGCGAGCUGGGUUCAGAACGUCGUGAGACAGUUCGGUCCAUAUCCGGUGCAUGCGCAGGAAUAUUGAGAGGAUUUCUCCCUAGUACGAGAGGACCGGGAGGAACGCACCUCUGGUGUACCAGUUAUCGUGCCAACGGUAAACGCUGGGUAGCCAUGUGCGGAGAGGAUAACCGCUGAAAGCAUCUAAGUGGGAAGCCCACCUCAAGAUGAGUAUUCCCAUGGGGUAACCCAGUAAGGUCACGGGAAGAACACCCGUUGAUAGGCUCUACGUGGAAGCGCAGUAAUGUGUGAAGCGGAGGAGUACUAAUAGACCGAGGGCUUG